rnacentral:rRNA from 1 species
UAGAAUUCCACGUGUAGCGGUGAAAUGCGUAGAGAUGUGGAGGAAUACCGGUGGCGAAGGCGGCCUUCUGGACAGAUACUGACGCUGAGAUGCGAAAGCGUGGGGAGCAAACAGGAUUAGAUACCCUGGUAGUCCACGCCGUAAACGAUGUCGAUUUGGAGUUUGUUGCCUAGAGUGAUGGGCUCCGAAGCUAACGCGAUAAAUCGACCGCCUGGGGAGUACGGCCGCAAGGUUAAAACUCAAAUGAAUUGACGGGGGCCCGCACAAGCGGUGGAGCAUGUGGUUUAAUUCGAUGCAACGCGAAGAACCUUACCUGGUCUUGACAUCCACAGAAUCUUGCAGAGAUGCGAGAGUGCCUUCGGGAACUGUGAGACAGGUGCUGCAUGGCUGUCGUCAGCUCGUGUUGUGAAAUGUUGGGUUAAGUCCCGCAACGAGCGCAACCCUUAUCCUUUGUUGCCAGCGAUUCGGUCGGGAACUCAAAGGAGACUGCCGUUGAUAAAGCGGAGGAAGGUGGGGACGACGUCAAGUCAUCAUGGCCCUUACGACCAGGGCUACACACGUGCUACAAUGGCGUAUACAAAGGGAGGCGACCUCGCGAGAGCAAGCGGACCUCAUAAAGUACGUCUAAGUCCGGAUUGGAGUCUGCAACUCGACUCCAUGAAGUCGGAAUCGCUAGUAAUCGUGAAUCAGAAUGU